UACGAAGGGGGCUAGCGUUGUUCGGAAUCACUGGGCGUAAAGGGCGCGUAGGCGGCCGAUCAAGUCGGGGGUGAAAGCCUGUGGCUCAACCACAGAAUUGCCUUCGAUACUGUUUGGCUUGAGACCGGAAGAGGUUAGUGGAACUGCGAGUGUAGAGGUGAAAUUCGUAGAUAUUCGCAAGAACACCAGUGGCGAAGGCGGCUGACUGGUCCGGUUCUGACGCUGAGGCGCGAAAGCGUGGGGAGCGAACCGG
rnacentral:rRNA from 1 species